CACGUAUACAGCCAUGGUUCUCAACUGGUGGGUUUUGACCCAAAAGUGGGUCGCAACCCCGUCUUCAGUAGGUCGCCAUGUGCCUUUUCACUGCGCUCAGCCUCCCCC